rnacentral:ncRNA from 2 species
CUUAAGAAAGGAAAGAGAAAGUCCAACCACUACGGCAAUACUUUUAAGCUCUACUAAAUGAUCGUAUCCUUUCUGGCUUCGAAACUUUUGUACCUAAAAAUCGAGAGAGGCGCUGCAUUUUUUCAGUUGAAACUGUCAAAACUUGGAGAAGGGGGACCUCGGAGGCAGGCAGGAGAGGAGGAGAAUCCUGAAAACUCGGUGGAGGUUGGGAAGAUGCUGUGCCUCGAGGAUUAGUUUAAACAGGGGGCUAUAAAAGAUGUAACAGAUGCAAACUGUAACACAAGGGCCAUUAACCCUUUCUCUGCCGGGCACACUCAGUCCCCACGCCCCACACCUAUUGUCUCCUGUGCUAGAAGCUUUGCAGAAAACCUGGAAAACUCACAUCCCCACUCAAAAUGAGAAAAUUAGAAAAGGAGGAUGGAGGACGAGCACACCAAAAAGGGAUAAAAAGAGAGAAAAGGGGAGGAAAAAAAACCUACCUGCGAAGUCUUGUUUGUAGUUUUGGCCAGAAAUGGUGAGAAGAAAAAGCAUGAAGAAGCCGCGAAGUGUGGGGGAGAAAAAGGUGGAAGCGAAGAAACAGCUCCCGGAGCAAACUGUACAAAAACCUCGCCAAGAGUGUCGGGAGGCAGGACCGUUAUUCCUGCAGAGCAGGAGAGAGACGAGAGACCCUGAAACACGCGCCACCUAUCUUUGUGGGGAGGGAUAAUUGAAGCGCCCUGAGCGUGAGCAUCAUGUGAAAACGUGAUCGCCAAGUUUCUCUCUGGGAAAGGAUCUGGGAUAGAUUAUACCUUGAAGUCUCCGCAAACGCUU